GUAGGCCACAGAUGACCUACUGAGAAGAUCCUGUGAUAGCAUUACUUGGAGCCUGAACUAGCAGUGCAAACACACCAAUGCUGCUGCCGCCGACGCUGCCGCCUUCCUCUACAAGGUUGUAAUUUGACACAGUAGACUGCAGUUCUCUCUCGGCAAUGAUCUUGCUGAACAUCGGAAGCACUUGAUUUGAAGUUUGGAAAUGAUCCAUCAUGUCUGCAGCCUACAACAUCACAGAAAACAUUUGAUCAGACCCAGUUUUUAGAAGAGACCCAGAUUUCUAA